UACGAAGGGGGCUAGCGUUGCUCGGAAUCACUGGGCGUAAAGCGCACGUAGGCGGCUUUCUAAGUCAGGGGUGAAAUCCUGGAGCUCAACUCCAGAACUGCCUUUGAUACUGGAGAGCUUGAGUCCGGGAGAGGGAUGCAGAAUUCCAGGUGUAGCGGUGAAAUGCGUAGAUAUCUGGAGGAAUACCGGUGGCGAAGGCGGCAUCCUGGACCGGCAUUGACGCUGAUGAGCGAAAGCUAGGGGAGCAAACGGG
rnacentral:rRNA from 1 species